rnacentral:tRNA from 1 species
CGGGACGUAGCUCAGUCUGGUUAGAGCGCCGCGUUUGGGGCGCGGAGGCCGCCGGUUCGAGUCCGGCCGUCCCGA